rnacentral:lncRNA from 1 species
GGAAUUUUAAAAAAAAUGAUAAUUUCAUUACAAAUUUUUGAAUACAUAAUGUGAAGCAAGACAAUAUUCUCCUAUACACUUGAAUACACAAUGUAAAAAAUGCAAGCAUGCUAUUGAAAAACAUAACCAACUUCUCUUCAUCUAAUUCAUAUUGAAAUUAAUGAUAUUUCUACAUCACUAGUGGCAGCAAUGUAAGAAGUUACAUCUUUCUGACUAUCUUUAGAAUCCGAAACGGGCAUAUUGUAGAGAAACGUGGGAAAGGAGUGGAUCAGGUGCAGGUUCACUCCCAUUAAUCCAACCACUCGUUGAAUAUGAACUUAGUUCUCUGAUG